AUCAGUAUGGCACAGUGGUAAUGCGUGUCACUCGUAAUGACAAGAUCCCCUGUUCAAUUCAGGGUGGGGGCA